AGAACGAACGCUGGCGGCAGGCUUAACACAUGCAAGUCGAACGGUUGUAGCAAUACAGCAGUGGCGCACGGGUGAGUAACGCGUGGGAACAUUCCUUUCAGUCGGGAAUAACAGCGGGAAACUGCUGCUAAUACCUGAUACUCCCUCCGGGGGAAAGAUUUAUCGCUGAAAGAUUGGCCCGCGUCAGAUUAGCUAGUUGGUGGGGUAAUGGCCUACCAAGGCUCCGAUCUGUAGC
rnacentral:rRNA from 1 species